AAUACCAACGUGUCCUUUGGCUUCGCUUUCUAUGACUCACUGGGAACCAAAGCCCAGGUGAAUCGCCCAGGCUCCCCGUGUCAUUUUUGUUUCAUUAAUGACGUGUCUGCUCUGUUUUGUUCUUAGCUCCUCAGAGAAGGCGCUUCUGCAGGUCUUUCCCAUGGGACCUAAAGCUUCACUCAAGCCCCUUCAAGACUUAGAACAACUACAAGUCAUGUUCAAGAGCACCAGUUGACUGAAAAUGCACCUGGCAAUAUUGUACCAGCUCCAUCAAUGUCAAGAACUUAGGUCCUUUGCCUUCUGGUCUCCUCAUAGCAUGCAGUUUUAUGGCUGGGCAGGUUUUUGCAGGCUGGUAUCUCUGUGUUAACGGUGAGAGGAAGGGUCCCUGAUGGUUAAGUAUUUUCUUGCCCCCACCCCCUUCAAGCUCUCCUAGAACCUUGAUCUUAUCAGCCGGCCAUUUCCCAGGGCUCUCUGGUGGAGCUUCAUAGGAAACACCUUGAACCUGACUGGUCCUGGCACCUGGCAGUUGGGGAAGGAGGAAGACAGAGAGCUUGCAACUGAAGGAAGAGUGUACUUGGCUCUGUCACUAAAUGGUUCCUCCCUCUCGGGGACAGGCAAGCAGCAGUUGUAGGGCAAUGGCCAACUGAUCCAUUUGGAGAUAGAGUCAGGGUGUGGUGUUCCGGGUAAGUUUGGGCAGGCCCUGGGAAACUGGAGCAGAGCUAGAUCCUGGCCUAAAGUUGGGCAAGCUGCAGAGGCACUUGGGUAUGCUGGUUUUAGGUGUGUGAGCUUUGCUCUCUGUUAAGGGAGGGGUGGGGGUGUCCAAGAGGACUAGCAUGUCUGUUUUCCCCUCAUUCACAAUAGAAGGGAGACUUGGCUAGGCCCUUCAAAGUCUGGCCUUAAUGCACCAGACUUUGUCUCUUUUCUCAGUAAUUCAUAGCACAAAUCAUCCGUCCCAUGCCUGGGAACCAAGCUCACAGCGAACUUCACAUCUGUAAGCCUUGUCUCAUGCCCUUGUCUCUUUUUGGUAAGCUUCUCAGGAUUUCAGUCUGCCUCACUCACUUUUGAGUGGAGGGGACUAGAGAUUGAACCCAUCCUUUUUUUUUUUUUUUGAUACAGGGUCUCACUAAGUUGCUCAGGGCCUCAUUUAGUUGCUGAGGCUGGCCUCAAAUUUGUGAUACUCCUGCCUCAGCCUCCCCCAGUUGCUGGGUUUACAGGCAUGUGCCAUCAUAGCUGGCCUGCCCCACUCACUUCUGAGAAAACUUUUCCCAGUGCAGGAGCCUCAACUCAUGGCUCCGUUCUCUCUUCCCCUAAUCCUAGGAUUCACUGUUGGUUUGGGGUCUAGCUCUGUUAUGUUUACUUCUUUGCCUGCUUCCUGCCCUCCAGGUGGGCAGUUUCCUGAGCUUUUGCUCUUGCUAUUCCUUCUGCCAAGAACUCUCUUCCUUCCUUGGGAUCUUUAGAUGUUCUCAUCCUUCAAAUGUCAUCUCAAAUGUACCCUCCUCAGCGAGGCCCUCCUUGACCACCUCAUCUACUAAGUAGUCACUCUUUGACCCAUUACCUAAAAUGUAGUAUCACCUUAAAACUCAUGUGAAAUUGUCCUCAUUUAUGCAUCGGCUUGGAUGGUGUCCCUUCCUCUCAAAUAUAAUCACCUGGAGGGUGAGACCAAGCAGAACGAGUUGACACAUAGUUGACACCCAAUAAAUAUUUG
rnacentral:lncRNA from 1 species